rnacentral:rRNA from 1 species
ACGCCUAACACAUGCAAGUCGAACGCAGUAGCAAUACUGAGUGGCGAACGGGUGAGUAUAAUGUGGGUAUCUGCCUUUUGGUUUGGAAUAACACGAGGAAACUUGUGCUAAUACCGGAUAAGCCUUUACAGGGAAAGUUUUAACGCCGAAAGAUGAGCCCAUACUUGAUUAGCUAGUUGGUAAGGUAAUAGCUUACCAAGGCUACGAUCAAUAGCUGAUCUGAGAGGAUGAUCAGCCACAUUGGGACUGAGACACGGCCCAGACUCCUACGGGAGGCAGCAGUGGGGAAUCUUGCACAAUGGGGGAAACCCUGAUGCAGCGAUGCCGCGUGAGUGAAGAAGGCCCUUGGGUUGUAAAGCUCUUUCGUCGGGGAAGAAAAUGACUGUACCCGAAUAAGAAGGUCCGGCUAACUUCGUGCCAGCAGCCGCGGUAAUACGAAGGGACCUAGCGUAGUUCGGAAUUACUGGGCUUAAAGAGCUCGUAGGUGGUUAAGAAAGUUGGUGGUGAAAGCCCAAGGCUCAACCUUGGAACUGCCACCAAAACUUUUUGACUAGAGUAUGAUAGAGGUAAGUGGAAUUUCUAGUGUAGAGGUGAAAUUCGUAGAUAUUAGAAAGAACACCAAUUGCGAAGGCAACUUUCUGGAUCAUUACUGACACUGAGGAGCGAAAGCAUGGGUAGCGAAGAGGAUUAGAUACCCUCGUAGUCCAUGCUGUAAACGAUGUGUGCUAGACGUUGGAAAUUUAUUUUCAGUGUCGCAGCAAAAGCGUUAAGCACACCGCCUGGGGAGUACG